GACGAACGCUGGCGGCGUGCCUAAUACAUGCAAGUCGAGCGAGUCUGCCUUGAAGAUCGGAGUGCUUGCACUCUGUGAAACAAGAUACAGGCUAGCGGCGGACGGGUGAGUAACACGUGGGUAACCUGCCCAAGAGAUCGGGAUAACACCUGGAAACAGAUGCUAAUACCGGAUAACAACAGAUGAUGCCUAUCAACUGUUUAAAAGAUGGUUCUGCUAUCACUCUUGGAUGGACCUGCGGUGCAUUAGCUAGUUGGUAGGGUAACGGCCUACCAAGGCGAUGAUGCAUAGCCGAGUUGAGAGACUGAUCGGCCACAUUGGGACUGAGACACGGCCCAAACUCCUACGGGAGGCAGCAGAAGGGAAUCUUCCACAAUGGACGCAAGUCUGAUGGAGCAACGCCGCGUGAGUGAAGAAGGGUUUCGGCUCGUAAAGCUCUGUUGUUGGUGAAGAAGGACAGGGGUAGUAACUGACCUUUGUUUGACGGUAAUCAAUUAGAAAGUCACGGCUAACUACGUG
rnacentral:rRNA from 1 species